AAAACUUGCCAACCAAGCAAGUAAUUAUGCUGAACGCCCUUGGACACUCUCUAAUUGGAUGUACUGGGUCCUCCCAAUUCUUAGUCCUUUAAUACCUAUUUUUCUCCUUCUUUUAUUCGGACCUUGUAUCUGCCGUUUAGUUUCUCAAUUCAUCCAAAACCGUAUCCAGGCCAUCACCAAUCAUUCUAUACAACAAAUGCUCCUUCCAACAACCCCACAAUAUCACCCCUUACCACAAAAUCCUCCUGCAAGUUGACCUCUCCCACUCUAGGUUCCCACGCCACACCUAAUCCCGCUCGAAGAAGCCCUGAGAAACAUCGCCCAUUAUCUCUCCAUGCUACCCCCCGCACCCAAAUUUUUUUUUCGAGCUUAAAAGUCUAAGCUUAAAAUCAUAAUGAAUAAUUUUUAAAAUAUUGACUUUUAUCCAGUCUGUAUUUCAGAAAAAGAAGAUGAACCCUAUAGAAUGAUAUUUUAGAUAAAUAGUUCGCAGGGUUUCUCUUAUCAUAACAUUGUCAAAGAUAUUAAAAUAAUUUUAUCAGAAUUCAUUUAAUGAAUACUCCACAUUUCUGAGAUUAUUUUUGAAUUUUUGAUAUAUUAAUAUUGAUAAGCAAUAAAUUCCAAGAAAUCAAGCAUGUUACGAAGAGGUAAUAUAUAAUUCAAUGAAGAAAAAUAUUCUAAUUACAGGUAGAAAUAUUAGAAAAAGAAGGUAAAAUUAUUUGAAGGUAAUGUGAGUGCAGAUUUGGUAGCAUUAAAACACCAUAUUCUAUGAAUGAUAAGGAGGUGAAUGGCAGCAAAUAUUCACUAAUUUGAAAUUAUUAAUUUUAAUUGAGUAUGCAUAUUUCCUCAGAGAAUGUCCUUAAGAAAUUAUAUCAGACAAAAUAUUACAAGUAAGUGUUAGUUCCACAUUGAUAAAUGGGAGAGAGAGAGAUUAUCUCAUAGUAAAUUUGUAAGAUUAAAUGAAGGAACAUAGAUAAAACAU
rnacentral:lncRNA from 10 species